rnacentral:rRNA from 1 species
CGGCGGACGGGUGAGUAACGCGUAGGCAACCUGCCUUAUGCAGAGGGAUAGCCAUUGGAAACGAUGAUUAAAACCUCAUAAUGCCAAGGGUUCACAUGUACUUUUGGCCAAAGAUUUAUCGGCAUAAGAUGGGCCUGCGUCUGAUUAGCUAGUUGGUGAGGUAACGGCUCACCAAGGCGACGAUCAGUAGCCGACCUGAGAGGGUGAUCGGCCACAUUGGAACUGAGACACGGUCCAAACUCC